rnacentral:tRNA from 1 species
UUAGUUCAGCUGGUAGAGUACCUGAUUCUUAAUCAGGGUGUCUCGAGUUCGAACAUUGGAAGUA